GACGAACGCUGGCGGCGUGCUUAACACAUGCAAGUCGAACGGAAAGGCCCUGCUUUUGUGGGGUGCUCGAGUGGCGAACGGGUGAGUAACACGUGAGUAACCUGCCCUUGACUUUGGGAUAACUUCAGGAAACUGGGGCUAAUACCGGAUAGGAGCUCCUGCUGCAUGGUGGGGGUUGGAAAGUUUCGGCGGUUGGGGAUGGACUCGCGGCUUAUCAGCUUGUUGGUGGGGUAGUGGCUUACCAAGGCUUUGACGGGUAGCCGGCCUGAGAGGGUGACCGGCCACAUUGGGACUGAAAUACGGCCCAGACUACUACGGGAGGCAGCAGUGGGGAAUAUUGCACAAUGGGCGGAAGCCUGAUGCAGCAACGCCGCGUGCGGGAUGACGGCCUUCGGGUUGUAAACCGCUUUCGCCUGUGACGAAGCGUGAGUGACGGUAAUGGGUAAAGAAGCACCGGCUAACUACGUG
rnacentral:rRNA from 1 species